CACAUAGAUACCAACACACGGACACGCACAGACCCACACAGAUACACACGGAAGUGCUUCCCUGGUUGUGCUCUAUCCCUGAGCCUUUGAUGGACACACGUGCACAUACAUGUGUAAUGUUUUAAUGGGAAUCUCCCUGAGGAAGGGUCUGCACCCUGACCUCCUUUCUGCUCUAUCCUGGGGCAGUGAGGACCAAUGGACGAAUGGCAAGGGGUAUAAAAAAACCCCUAAACAGACAACAAAGCAGAGCGCCUCACCCCCCGCCCCCUGCCCUGUGGCGGAUGAAGCCCCCGCGGCGGAUGCAUCAGGAUGCUGACCUGCCCAGGGAUGCUGCACCAUGGGUGUCGUGGUCGGGACGCGCCCCUUCUUCCUGCUGCAGGAGUUUCUGUCAUCAGAAGCCCCUUUGCAAAACUUUCCCCCAAACUGUGGCUUUGGGACCCAGUUACUAUCUAGUCCCUGUCACCUCUGUCACCAUUUCCCUGCUUCUUCUAGCUCCUUUUCCUGCAUCUCCCGGACUUGGACCGGGGUUCUGUCUGCACCUCUCAUCUUCCUUUUCUGUCCUCUCCCUCGGUGAACUCAGUUACUUCUGCAAUUUUUCCUUCCCUUUCUACGGAAAUUGUUUGUAGACGAUGUCUCUGGCUCCAAGCUCUUUCCAGCGGCCUGGACCAGCAUCUCCCAGGUUGGCCAGGCCCAUGGACCAGCGCAGUGACUCCCAACCCUGCUUGGUUCUUGUAAACGCCUGGAGAGCUCGAAUGGCACAGACUCCAACGUUUUGGAAGAUCUGACUCAGAUUUAGUAGUUCGGGGGCAUGGGCCAGGAAUAUGCAUUUUUAAAACUCUUCGUGGUAGGGUGAUGUGGUCACUAGGUGCUGUGGGCCAGGGGAAGGACUUCAGGAGAAGGUCACAUUUAAGGGCCAGGGAGGGAGUGAGGGAGACAAUUUGAGUUCAACCAAGGAGCCCCUGGAAGGUGCAGGAGGAGAUGUCCUAUCGGGGCAGGUGUGGGUCUAAGCUCUGGUGGCAGUUUUUGCUGGAGAGGGACGGGGAUAGGUGGAUGGAUGGAAGAACCCCAGGCCUGGCUCUGAGCACCUGCUGCAGGUGCAGAGGGAGGGGCGGGGCCUGGAGAGCCUGGACUGUGUGGGUCUCGGGGGAAGGAGGAGGAGGGUAAAGGCCCUUGGUUGGGGGUUGGCCAGAGAGUCGGAGGGAAGUUAGAGAGAGCAGAGUCUCAGAAGCUAAAAGAGCAGAGACUUGAACACAUCAAAAUGAACCGGGCGCUGGUUCACACUUGUGUCUGGCUGGACCACAGCAUGAGCUGGGCUUGGGGCUCCGUGAGGGAGGAGAUACUGCUGCAGCCUCAGCGGUCCUUGAGGAGGAGGUGCUACAACGAUGUGUUGAGUUUUGAUGACAGAGACACCCCCUGUCACACCAGAACGGGGUCCCCUGAAAUGCAGCUGGAGAAUUCCCAGCGACUCUUGUAGCUGGUUUUAUAGUGAGACGUGGCAGUUCUGGAGUCCCAAGAGUCACCUGGGGAGUGGGCUACAAUGCCUGCAAACCAUCCGCUGCCUCCGGAGUCGGUGUUUCUAAGCCUUUUGGGAAAAGUGACCAGAAUGUUUAUGUCCUGUGGGUGGGUCCCCAUCAGCGCUCCCUCUCCCCACGGCUCAGGAUCUGAACAGAAAGAAAAGACACGUCAACUGCCUAGAGGUUUCCGACUGUCGGGUCCAAGAAUAAUCCUUUUAGCAGAGACACUGGCACCAUUGUGGGGAGGGGCCCCCUGCCCACUGUGGGUUCACCGCCACUCCUGGGUGGCUUCUCUGAGAAAUCUCUUGGCUUCCUCCCUUCUCUCCAGCCCCUUCCUCCCCCACCUGCUUAAUAGAACCCCGUUUAUUUUCCUAGCACUUUGCUCCCUUCUCUUUCCAGGAGAUGAACAGUGUUCUAGUAUGGCAUUUUUUUGGGUCUUUUCCUCAUUAUUUAAGUAAGGUUCUGUUUGUUUUAUGCUCCAUCUAACAUAGGCUGUUGCACCCAAAUCCUUCAUCUUUGUUAUCUUUUCCUGGUGCUAGUGGAGCAGAAGGAAACGGGAACUGGUCCAUGACAUGAUGCUUCUUUCUGCAUCAUUCACAGUCUUGUUUUUGGCAGUGCUGCCUGCCACGCACAGCAGCCCAUAGAAAUGGCACCAUGACCCUCUCCCACCGCCACUGCCCUGCAGGUAAAUCGGACCACGUCUCUUGAGCCUGUUGCCAGCAGAGUGGACUCAUGGUGUGUGGGAACCUCCCAGUUUCCUGCAAGCCCUGAGGUCCACACAGACUUGGCUUAGGUGGAAAUAUGAAGAGGAUAUAUUUGACACUUGACCUUGUCCAGAGAAUAGGGCUGUGUGCUUUCUGGAGCCAGAGCCAGGCAGUACCUGGAGGUGGAGGUAGGUGGGAGGAGGCCAGAGGAGUCAUGGGUGGUCGAGAGGGGAGUAUGCUGGUCAGAGAGGCCUGAGUGCUGGGAAGAAGGCUUGGGUUGUCUGGUUUCCCACUUAUACUGUGAAUUGGGGGUGACAGUGAGCAUGGUGGCCUAGGCUGGCCAUGAGGGUGGGUGAGUCAAGGCACAUGGACCCUUAGAGCCGUGCCCACACAGGAUGGUGUGUGCUGCCUGGAAAGCUCCCGGCCGGAGGCUGGGGGCCACUGAGACUGGUCCUGGAAACAGGUGAACCCCGUGGCUCUCCGGAAGAGCUUUUGUGGGAGAGGGGGCAGAGGCUUUUGUUUCUGGCGACUCUUACCUAGGGGGCUGGGUGUGUAUGCUCUGGUCCUACUGCUCAGGGAGGGGCAGAGGGGCCUCCGUGGCUAGAGAAGGAGCCCCGGGCCCCGAGGCGGGUGAGAGCUGGUGUUUGAGGGGUGAGCAGAGCCACCUCAGCCCUCGUCCUCUUGCAGGGAGAGGGCACACUUUUGUCCUCAGGUUUGCUCUGGGGCAAGAGGUCUCUGUGGGGUGUCCACGCAUCACGAGUCACAGUCACGGCAGAGGGAGAGUCAGGGCUGCUGUCGGCAGGUGUGUCCUCACACAGAGGUCCAAGCUCUGCGCAGAUGGGCUUGUGAAACACAGGGACAGGUGACCACAGGGUAUGGGCCACGUGGUCCCCAUCGCAGCCUGCCUGGUCCUCUGGCCUCCGGAAGGUGCUUCAUCUGGGAGGGAUCCCCUUGGAGGGUGCAGCUGAACUGCUCUGGGCCGGGGUCGCAGGGGCUGACCCAGGAGAGAGGCCUGGACUGUGUGGCCUCCCUCAGUCACUGAACCUUUCUGUUUGCAUCUCUCCUGGCAGGUGGGGGCCGCAGAUACGGCUUAGUUAUUAUAGUUACCUUUAUCGAGUGACCACCAGGCGCCGGUGCUUUGCACACAUGGUUCCUAAUCCCUGACAGUAAAUGAUCAUAUCUAUUUACUUGUUUACUUGAGGGUAGAGACUGGAUCAUUGCUCUCUCCCCGGUGCCUGGGGCAGGAGCUGGCAUACGCCGGACUCUUGAUAAAUAUUUGUUGAGCCAGUGGACAGGAGGAUGAGGUGGUGGGGGGAGAGGCAGGGCCCUGCCAGAUGGUCUCCCUUUGGUUCAGAGGAGCAAAGUGACUGGUGCGUGAGGGCUGCUGGUGGCUCCCACCCUGUGUUCUGCCAAUGAGGGACUUUGUGAGCAGAGCAGGAGGGAGAAGGGAAGGUGCCCCAGAGAUUAAACACCCCCGGCAGCGUUAACUUUUAUGAAACAAAAGCUUGGUUCUGUUGCAAAAUAAAUUGGGUAAACACUGAGGUAACCCGAGUUACAGGAUUGCUGACCCUGAGUCUCUUAGCUCAGUCCUGAUGGGCCCUGUGUAUGUGUUUGCUCCGUGUGCAGAUGCUGACCACAGUGCCGUGUGCAGACACUGGCCACAGAGUCGUGUGCAGACACUGGCCACAGUGCCAUAUCUACCCAGUCAUUUAAGCCUCCUAAUAACCCUCUGGGAUCUUGCUCUUGUCGUCCCAUUUUUCAGAUGAGGACACUGACACCAGAGAAGGAGAUGGUCUGCCCUUGAAACACAGACGCCAUGGUGUGGGGUGGGCCUGCGUCCUUAAUGUCAUGUGACCGCUGCCUCCAUGUCCCGAGGCGUCGUGGCUCCCUGGACGGGGCAGGGCGGGCAUCCCCUUCCCAGCCUUCACCGUCACAGACAGCACCAGGUUUAGAACUGCCCGUGGUGGAGAAGCCCUGUCCCCAGGACCAGUGCCGUGGGGAGAGAUGCAGGAUGCGUGGGGAAGCCAGUGCAGGGCAGCCGCACCCAGGCCAGGUGUCUGACAGGCAGAGGGAGCCCCGUGCGCGAUGAAAGGGUUCCCCUCCCGAGCGCAAGAGGCACCAUCCACUCUGCAGUAGGCAGUGGACAGGGUGAGCGGGACGAGGCUUUGAAGUCUAAGUAUGUGACACCUCUUGCUCUGUUUUUAUCCAUUUGUCUUCAUUUGGGGGGAUUGUUCGACAAAUACAUUCACGUGCUGUGUAAUGGCACGCCUUUCAUGCACCGAGCUCCUUUUAACCUAAGUGUGUUUGAGGAAGGUCUUUCUAGAAUGUAAAUAUCAAAUCUCCGGAUCUUUAAAAGGAAAUUCUGGGUCUAUUUCACCCCUUUCCAGUGCUGCACCAGCCUCCGACAUUUCGGGUGUUGAACCUGCUGUCAGGCUGCGAAGCCAUCGUGAGGCAGGGGGCAGCUCGGUGUCUUGGAGCUGGGGUCCCGGAGGGGCCCCUCGUGCUUCUCAGGGACGGGCCUCAGGAUGUGUGCCCCUGCUCCUGUGGCCUGGAAAUGGGUCAGCAGCUCCAUCCAGCCGUGUGCUCGGUGGGAGCGGGAGGACCGAGGGGCUCACAGGAGUGAAGUGCGUCAGCUCCCACCUGUGGACCUGAGAACGUCGAUUUUGGCUUCUUAGGAGUUUGUCCUCCUUUGCUCCCUUUGUUCCUGCUUCUCCAUGACAAGUGUUAGCUCAGCCACCCCCCUAAUGAUGACAGAGACGUCCAUGCUGUGGGGCCACGCUAUACCGCAGGCACCGCUCUGAGAACCAGGCAGUGCCCACUGGCCUGGCCCUCUCUGCACCCCUGGGAGACCCUUGAGAGUUAGAACCACCACAAUUUAGAGACAAGAAAGAUGAGGCACAGAGAAGUGGAGGAGCUUGCCCUGGGCAGCACAGCCAUGACGCAGGGGAGCAGGGGUUCCAGCCCAGGUGUCCAGGUGCAUGGGUCUCAAGACCCUUAAUGCCUAUGGGUCCGGCCCUCCGUGGCCUCAGGGAGGGUGUUUGCCUCCGUCAUCGGGACCUCACGCAGCAAGUGUGCCACGAAUGUGAGGGUCUGUUCACAGUGACGCAGGGGGUGUUGUGUCUGUGAGUCUGGAGGUGUCUGGAGCCCCUCAGUGCUAUCUGGAAGGCGCUGGAGAUGGAUGAGUGGGGAGCUGUGAUCUCAAAGCAGGUGUAAGGGCAGUGACCCGAGCUGGGGUCAUCGUCCCCAGUUCCGGCUCCACCGUCUGUGGCCUCGUCACUCCACUUCCUGGACAGACCAAGGUGGUGACUCCCACGGAGGUGUCGCGGCUGGUCCCAGAGGAGAAGAUGGAAAUGCCAGCGGCCGGGGGUGGAGCUGAGUUCUCACGAUGGCAGUCGGCACUCUGUCAUUGGAACAGACGUGCCCUGCCUGGGGCCUUGACCCCUUUCCUGGCAGGUUCCCCUGUGAACUUUUCCCGCAGCCUCUUCUCAAGAUGACUUAGGGAUGUGAGAGCUCAGAGCCAAGCUCCCAAUUUAGUUCCUGACCUUUCCAGGCUGGAUGGGAGUGGUGUGGCGGGGGUGGGGGUGGGGGCCGGGGGCCAGCGGGAGUCAUUGGCUUCCUGUGAGGCCCGGACACUCCCUCUGAGCGGCCCCUCACGGGCACCUAGUCCAGUGCUCUGGCUGUGAGGACUUCCCUUGCCGGGGUCCUGCGGCCUGCCUGGCCUCCUCAAAUGCAGAAAACGUCUGAAACACAGGCUUGUCUGUCUGAGGUCUGUGCGCAAAGUCAGGGUCUGAAACAUCCUGUCUCUGGAGACAAGGGGGAGGCCCAGAGAGUAACGGGGCAUAGGGUGUGUGUGCCAGCGGUGGGGGGAGAGGUGCGGGGGGGGUGUCAGGCCUUGUGGAAAAAGGUGUGGAGGCUGAGAGGUGGCUCUAGUCCCCCCACCCACCAGGCUACAGUGUGUGGAUGAAGGGGCCCCACAAGCAGACGGGGCGGCCCUCCCCGCCUCAGGGACAGCGAGCAGUACCUGGUCACUCCCCUCUCCCCGGCACGUGCACGGCCGCUGUGUCCUCAGGAGGCCCCCCAGGUCCAACUGUGGGUGAGGGUGAGGCAGGAGUCAAGGCAGCAGUGGCGGGGGCACGGGCCCCUGGAGCCUGGGUCUGAGGAUGCUCACGGGCCCUGCUGCAGGGUGGGGUGUUGUUCUGAGGGUGAGGAUCGGGGGGGGGCUUGGUUCCCCCCAGGGGGGCAUAGGGAGGCAUCGUGAGAGGUAUUGUGUCUUCUCACGUCUGGGACCUUCUGUGUGCCGCCUGUGGCCCGGGUGGAUGUCACCAAGAGGAGAAGCCCCAGAAGGUGCGGGUCACAGAAUCACGUUGAGGGCACCUGUGAGAAUGCCUCGGGGACACCGGGGUGCCUCUGGAGGCUCUGGUCUUGGCACUGCUGCCCUAGUUACCUGGCAGCUUCUCUGCACCAGGUUCAGGAGGGAGCCAUCUGCCAUCCCACAGGACAGGUCCCAGCUCCCCCUGGGGGCUGGAGAGGUGUGUCCGCCCAGCUGCAGUGCCUCCUGGGCUCCAGCCUCAGCUUCUGCUCUCAGAGGAGGAGGGCCUGGUCUCCAUCUCUGCCUCUAGGCCGAGCGCCCAGUGCACAUGAUGACAGCCUGUCCUGGUCCCAAAGGUGUCUGCUCCUUUGCAUCAUCCCCCCACUUUGGGGGCGGGAGGCCAGGUUGACCUGAAACUCAGGCAAAGGAGUGAGCACUGAGCUGGGGCUGGAUGUCCUGCACGGCCACUGCUGGCCUGGGCCCUUGGGUACAACACCCGACCUUUGUGUGUGCUUCUGUCCCAGGCUCCGUGCCUCCCACUGGCACCUCGUUCAGUCCUCCAGCAACCUGGAAAGGGAGGGGACGGUCACCCCUGUGACCAGAAACACCCUGGUGCUACGCUGGGUGGUGAGGACGAAUGGGUGCCCAUACCCAAACCCUCUCCUCUCCUGCCCUGACACGUGGCCGGGCCCAGUGUCUGCAUCCUCAAGGUGGGGCUGGAAAGGUGAGUCCUUUUUGACCCCGAGGGCGUAUGGAUUCUUCCUUGAAUCCAUCGCAGCACAAGCUGACAGCACUCACGCCCACUUGCCAAAGGGAGGACAUGGAGGCAUAAUCACUACACAAAAGUUAUUUUUAGGACUCGACCAAAAUGAAGGAAAAUCAGAAAGAUACUUGGUACUGUUCUCCCUCACAGACUGUAUACUGCGGGGGCUUUAAAGAGCUUUGUUGCGAAGACUGUUGACGUGGGGUUUCCUGGCUUUGUUUGUGGGGGGGAGUCUAGUUAUGUUGGAGGAGAUGCUUGUCCUAAACUUACGCUGACUCCCCACCCCCAUCCCCAGUGGGACAUGCUAUAUAUAUAUAUGCUAAGGUGUAUCUUUGCUUUAAAUUUGCUUAAAGACAUUGGACUAUAAAUCUGUAAUUGCUGGUGUUGCAUUAUUUGAAGACAGUGACCAUGGUGGGCUGGUUAGUUGGUCCAUCUAAGCACAACUGAGCUGGGCCCUGCUGUUGCCUGUGGUCCGCAGCAGGUGGGCCUCAGGCAGAAACGUCCCACACAAGCAUGGAGAAAUCAGCGCUGAGACAGGGGAAAGUCAGGGGGCGAAUGCAGGAUUCUGAGAUACUAACGUGAUUGGUAGAAAGCCCCAAAGACUGGCGGGUUGAAAAGUGGUAGAAAAGGUUUUCCUGGGAGAAGUUCUCCAGGUAAAGCCCUGAAGCCUGAAGCUUGUGGGCAAAUGGGCCAGCCCAAUGGUCGGAAUGCCAAAAUUGCAGGUAAGAAAAACAAGAGAUACGAUGCCAUGCGAAAGGUAUGAUUUCAACCUAGAAACCUAGGUUCUCAUGGUUCGAUCUAGGGACAUUCUUGGAGUGAUCUGCAUUCACUCGUCCAUAAAUGCUUACUGAGCACCUGCUUUGUAUAAGACACAGCCGUGCUUAAGGCAGAUGCCCUCACGAGGCGUCACUCCAGGGAGCAGUACCAGCAUCUAAUUAAGAGACGGAUCACUCAAUUAUAAUUGGCCUCUCAGAUAUGUAUGUUUAGGUUUGGAUGUGACUAUAUGUAAGUUAAUAUUUCAUUUAGGCUGCUGAAAACACAAAACCCAAACUAAUGAUCGCCUUAUUGCCUAGUAGGGAGGGCUGGAUCAUGAAAUCUCUGAAGUUGUGGUGAAUGCCAUGCUGUAGGGUAGGUUGUGGAAUUUUUAAUCCUGCUGACAUGGCCUCUAGAACUUAAACCUUGAGAUUUGCUGGAUCAGAGGGGUUAAGAGUGAGGAGGGAAUUUCCCACUGUGGUGCAGUGGGAUUGAUGGUGUCUCUGAAGUAGCAAGGACAUGGGUUCGAUUCCUGGCCCAGCACAGUGGGUUAAGGCUCCGGCGUUGCUGCAGCUGUACUGUAAGUUGUAUCGCCAGCUUGGAUUUGAUCCUUGAUCUGGGAACUUCCAUAUGCUGUGGGGUGGCCAAAAAA
rnacentral:lncRNA from 1 species